GCCCACUUUUGUUCGCAGUCAUAUGACGUCACGUACGUCAGUCGACGUGAGCUGCAUGAAGGUAUUUCGGUGACGGUCCUCCGCUGCGCGAGCGUGACUCGUGCUUCAGUGAGGACAUCAGCCAGAGGAUGCGCGUGCCCGAUCGCCUGAGGGUCGGUCCAGCGCGUCACGCGCACGCACCUGCUGACCAAAGAUCCGAAGAGCUACCUGCUGCCUACAGCAUGCACAUACCAGACAGACUGUCCUUAACAGAUACUCCUGAUCUGAGUCCACGACCUCUCUUCACUAAACACACUUCAUCAAUGUGGGACCUGCAGCACGGGUCCUGGGACAGGGAGGCGUUCAUGAGAGAGCCUGUCCAGAGUCCACUGCGAAGAUCUUAUAGUGACCAGGCUAUUGGUCGAACCCCACCUGGAACCCCCACACACUCCAGACAAACACUUCGCUCCCAGUCUCCCCACAGUAUUGGACGCCCACCCGUCAUGCUUACAGACUCAUCCCCACCAAAGUCCCCAGGGCACCCCGCCAUCCCACCCAACCUGCUGUCCCCACAGAGCAUGCUGCAGGCCGCCAAGGAGCUGGGCCAGCAGGCGUCUCAGAAACUCCUCCAGACCGUAACCAAAAAAUACUCCUCCAGGUUUGGUUACCCAGAAAACCAUCCCUCUCAGGCUGUGGAGGUUCAACCUGAUCAAAGCAGGACAAGUGCCUCGCAGGAGUUCUGGCUCAGUCCUGAGGAGGACACAGGUACUGCUGUCGAGUUCAUGGUGCUCCGCAGACAGGUGGUGAAGAUGAGCAGGAGGAUAGCAGGGGUGGAGAGACAGAACGCAGAGCACAAACAGACAGAGCUGGUGCUGUUCUCUCUGUUACUGUCUGCCUGUCUGAUCAACGGCUGGCUGUGGAUGCGCAGAUGACGGAUCACACUCCAUAACACUACACUAUACAGACAGCACUACAAGAGCAACAGAGCUGUUUACCGGGAAGUGCAUAACUGCACAUAGUUUUUAUAGUGCUUUACUAAAUUUGUUCUCUACAAAAUGAUGGUAAAUGGAUGGUUUAGAAACCACUCCUAUAGAGGAUUGUCAUCAGAAUGAGGCAUGAAUGUCUGAACCAUCCACUCGUAUGUGUCGUGAUCACGGUAGUGACAUGGGCUACUUUGUGUUACAAGUGAUUUGAGGAACUUGAGCAUGUUUUUCUCCUCGUGAGAGUUUCACUGAUGAUGUCAUUCAGUAAUGCAGUCUCUCUGGCUCUUUUGAUCAGACUAGUAGCUAGGUUUUGUAUUUGAUUUAUUCUGCAAAUUAAGUAAAUGCAAAAAUAGAUUUCCUGCAUGCUUUACAAGCCUCACAGCUAAGUAUUUAAGAAAGUAUAAAUAUGAGUAUUUAUUUAUAUUUCCUUUUUUUCUACCAAUUGGGCAUUUGAAUAGCCUUCAGCCAUUUUAACUCACUUGCCCAGCCUGAUGUAUGAUGAAUAUUUAAAAUAAUAAAAAUUGUAAUUAGUCUCAGAUGUCUCAUUCUCUUA
rnacentral:lncRNA from 1 species